ensembl:lncRNA
GACAAAGCUUUAUUUUUCACAUGGCUAGAAUAGAGGCAGCUUCAUUUGUCCAUGAGAAGCUUCUUAACUCUGGAUAUCUUAAUCCAGGCUCAGUGAAGAAGACUGUGUUGUAUGCUUUAAGUCAAGGACCUAGUAAUAACUGUAAGGCACAAUAAAACAAAAUGAGCAUCUCACAAACUUUACAGACAGACAAAAUAAUCCUGAGUGCAGCCAAGUUAUGUGACCGCUGCAGGAGCCAGACUGCAAAGUGGAAAAUCCCAUCAGAGCCAAGUGAGGAGGAAGCCAACUAAGACUGGCUACUUUCCACCACCAAAUGUCAGUCUCUCUCUGGCAGGUGAAAAAUCCAAGACUACAAGUUUACACUGCAAGAUCAUCCCACUGUGCAUUUUCUGCUCUGCUGGUACCCAGUGCUCCCCCACCUCCCCUGGGUUUAGCUUCACAAAAAAAGCUUCACCCCACUUCCCAUCUUGCAGUACUCACCAAUAGCCUGAGCAAGGGCUAUUACAACUUCCUGGCAUGUUGUGACUUCGGUGACCCCACACACGAUUCUCUGCACUCCAUCCACCCAUACUUUGAGCUCCAUGGUUCACCAGAUCAUCCAAGAGCCAUGAAUGCAAAUCAGUCAAGUCAUUCUUGCAGCUGCACCAGACACAAUGCAGGUGACUUCCCGCAGCAGCUGGAACAGAGAAAAAGCCUGGUGUUCAGAGCAAGGAAUCAGCAAUUUGAAAAGUUGACAAUUUCUCUUUGACAUCUAUCAGGUAGGAGAGCCAACACAGCCUCCUUUCUUUAAAAACAACAGGAACCAUACAACCACACGUUUUAAGGGCAGGGUGGCUGGAAAGUUCCCAGCAGGAAAGGAUGUGGGGUGCUGGUGAACAGCAGCUGCACAUGAGCCAGCUGUGCCUAGGCAGGCAAGAAGGCCAGUGGCGCCUGGGCUGGGUCAGCAAUGGUGUGGCCAGCAGGACCAAAGCAGUGACUGUCCACCUGUCAUGGGCACUGGUGAGGCCACACCUCAAAUCUGUGUCCAGCUGUGGGCCUGUCACUGCAAGAUGGACAUUGAGGGGCUGGAGCCUGUCCGUGGAAGGGAACAGAGCUGGACAAGGGGCUGGAGCACAAGUCUGAUGAGGAGCAGCUGAGGGAGCUGAGAAAGGAGCUCAGCCUGGAGAAAAGGAGGCUCGGAGGGAACAUUCUGGCUUUCCACAGCUGCCUGGCAGGAGGGAGAGCCAGGGGCAGGUUGGGCUCUGCUUACAGGGAACUGCCUCCAGCUGUGCCAGGGAAGGCUCAGGUUGGAUAUCCAGAAGAAUUUCAUUAUGAAAGGUUUGUCAAGUAUUGAAAGGGGCUGCCCAGAGAGGUCUGGAGUCCCCAUCCCUGGAAGUGUCCAGGGAAUGACUGGACGUGGCACUCAGUGCUCUGGGCUGGGUGACAAGGUAGGGAUCAGGCACAGGUUAGACUUGGUGUUCAUGUCCAACCUCAAUAAUUCUAUGAUUCCAUUCUAGGAUCCCAUGCUUUAACCAUGUCUAUCUCUUGUGCAGACUUACCCAAAGUUUCAUUACAGUUUAUUUCCUAAAAUUUUAUGAGUUGUUACAAAAAGAGCACCCAGAGAAAUAGCACUAAAUAAACAACUCCAGAAUAAACUCA